UAUCGUGUCAGGCUUUCUGUAGUCAUGUCUACCACACAUUAUAUCCUCUUCUUUUUUUAACAGGAGAAUCAGUCUAGAAGGGGUACCUGGUUCCUGGAGCCAACACUCACAGACUCAGAGAACCGACUGGAACGGACUGUCCUUAGGGUUCUGAGAUGUCGAUACCAACCAGCCCAGCUCAACACUGAACUUAUGACCCGGCAACUUCAGGAAGCUGAGAAGUGUAGACAGUCUGUUGUGGAGCAGGUGACUGCACUGCCUCAGAGUGUAGAUGGUGGUUAUUCCCAGCAGAGUCCAUCUAUGGAGGAGAGACGGAGUGCAGCACUGCUUGAUGCCUCAGUCACAGUACAGGUUAAAGAAGCCCAGCUUCAUCAAGUCACACAGUAUCAUCAGCAAGUACAGGUGCUCCUAGACACUCUAGAGGAUUUGGAGGCAGAAUUGGAUGCACUGAAUCUGUGAGUUAAAUCAUCCAUACAGUAAAAUGAAUGCGUUUCCAAUGUUCCUUAAAGUAAUGU
ensembl:lncRNA